rnacentral:lncRNA from 1 species
AUGGACCACACACGUGCAUAUGUAAAGAUGGUUAAAGAUUUCAGUGUCCUAAUCUUCUCCCCAAAUUCUUAUAUAAACUGGCCCACAAGGGGAGAGAGCGGCUUUAGUCAACAGUCGGAAGGAUGUGAACCAAUCCUACGGGGAAACAGAGUCACACAUCUGAUCCACGUGCAAAAUGACUCAAGGAGAUGGAGAGAGAAACUGCUCGGUAACAUUAAAUACAAACCAAACUUUAAUAUGAGAGUGCAGUGUAUUGGGCUAAAUUCUGCUUUGGUGUCACGCCUGAGUGUCUCCACGUGACAGAUGAACAGAUGGAGCGCUUUGUUUCGAGUCUCCAGUUAUGGUCUUCCUAAUCAACUGAAACCAGAGCAUAACAUAACCCUUGGGACAGGACUUGUGAGAUUUGUGAGUGGCGUCUUGGGUAAGAUAGAGCUGGCCUGUAUUUAUUAGGAAGUCCUCUCCCACAUCAUCUGCAGGAAAGACGUGAGCUAAAACAGGUCCAUGGGUUCUGACACAUCUGAGAGGCUGCCGGAGCAGAACUGCCAGCUCCAACCCCAAAGAAUUAGAAGUCGGACCCCCCUCAAUGGCAAGAAUGGCUUAGAAAUGACAUUUAAAACUGGAUAAAUA